CUACUGAUCUGGCAGGGGAAUAUCAUAAUGGAGCAAGUGGUUUCCCUAGGGACAGGGUCAUCCCCAGCAUUAUGGGUGUGCAGUCCCAUGUGAUUUACUCAAAUGUGGGAAACUCAGCUGCAUAAUUUGAAGUAGUGGGAGACUGCAUUUACACUUUCUCCUG